GUGUGUGUUUUGAGCGUGUGUGCGUGCGUUGGCGCAAAUCCUUACCCUCGCUGUAGACUGUUUAGGCUACAACAAACCAGAGACUGAAAGAUGAGGAAGAAUAUUCGCUUAUCCAAGUCGAACGUUUUAGCUGGACGUUUUCAUCGGAUUUUACAUCCUUUCCAACGCUUCUGUUCCAUGUGGUGUCCCAUGUCCCAUUAUUUGAGCCGAAGGAAAAGAAGGUUUCUCAAUUCAAGCAGUUGGGUUGACCGCGCCCGUUCCCUAAAGUAGCCUACAUAAAAUCCACUGCUUAUUUCGUUUUCGUUUGCUUUCCUCAGUUCCCUGCUGAAGUUUACUUGUCCAAAUCGAUGUAUAACAGCAACUGAAAAACGGCCUUGAAUGCCUCUGUGACCCACCUGUGCACGUAUGCCGACUGGGACUCCGGAAGGCGGUGUCCCGGGGACGUGAAAAGAACGUGACUGCUCUGGGCAGAGUCGUUAUGGAAGUGUGGAAACUCUCCGUUGUAGUCGGCGGUGUAGUUCACGGAGCUUUUACGGUUCAUGGCCCAGAAUAACCCCAGUAUGAGCAUCAACGCACCCAAAAUCACGCAGCAGAGGGAAAAGGCUUGCAUACGACUCUGGGACGAGGUCAGGAAGGCCGUAGAGCCCCCGGUGACGAUGAGGAACACCCCAAUGAGGAUUGUUCCAUGGUGAAGAGAAGGCAUCGUGCUAAGGGGUCGGGAGCGUUGUUUUUUCUACAAGUCCCGGUGAUGUGCGCUCAUUGCCCCGGUCACUUCCAUCGAACAGAGUGUGUUUUCUAAGUGCAAGACUAUAAGAGGUGCAAGGCUACCGAGGUCAGUCUUGAACAGUUGUUUAUUCUAAUCGCAUUGUCCUCACUCAAACAAAGUAAAACAAAAUAAAGAUAAGGAAUG